rnacentral:rRNA from 1 species
UAGGGAAUCUUCGGCAAUGGACGGAAGUCUGACCGAGCAACGCCGCGUGAGUGAAGAAGGUUUUCGGAUCGUAAAGCUCUGUUGUUAGAGAAGAACGUUGGUAGGAGUGGAAAAUCUACCAAGUGACGGUAACUAACCAGAAAGGGACGGCUAACUACGUGCCAGCAGCCGCGGUAAUACGUAGGUCCCGAGCGUUGUCCGGAUUUAUUGGGCGUAAAGCGAGCGCAGGCGGUUCUUUAAGUCUGAAGUUAAAGGCAGUGGCUUAACCAUUGUACGCAUUGGAAACUGGAGGACUUGAGUGCAAAAGGGGAGAGUGGAAUUCCAUGUGUAGCGGUGAAAUGCGUAGAUAUAUGGAGGAACACCGGUGGCGAAAGCGGCUCUCUUGUCUGUAACUGACGCUGAGGCUCGAAAGCGUGGGGAGCAAACAGG